GUACUUACCUGCAGGGAAUACCUUUCCGAAGGUGUUUUCCAGGUGAGGCUCAUCCAUUGCACUGCGGUGUGCUGACCCCUACGAUUUCCCCAAAAUCGCGGAAACUCGACUGCAUUGCAUUUGUGUAGUGGGACUGCGUUCCGCGCUCUCCCCU
rnacentral:snRNA from 1 species